rnacentral:rRNA from 1 species
UACGUAGGGGUCGAGCGUUGUUCGGAUUUACUGGGCGUAAAGGGCGCGUAGGCGGCGUAACAAGUCACUUGUGAAAUCUCCGGGCUUAACCCGGAGCGGCCAAGUGAUACUGUUGUGCUAGAGUGCGGAAGGGGCUACUGGAAUUCUCGGUGUAGCGGUGAAAUGCGUAGAUAUCGAGAGGAACACCUGCGGCGAAGGCGGGUAGCUGGGCCGACACUGACGCUGAGGCGCGAAAGCCAGGGGAGCGAACGGG